GACAGCAAGACCAGUGGUGACCUCCACCAUGGCCUGGCCCCAUCUCUUCCUUACCCUCCUUGCUCACUGCACUGGGUCCUGGGCCCAGUCUGUGCUGAUACAGCCACCUUCUGUGUCCGGGGCUCUGGGCCAGAAGGUCACCAUCUCCUGCACUGGAAGCAGCUCCAACAUUGGGAAUGGUUAUUAUGUGAGCUGGUACCAACAGCUCCCAGGAACAGCACCCAGAAUGAUCAUCUAUGCUAAUAACAAUCGACCCUCGGGGGUCCCUGAGCGAUUCUCUGGCUCCAAGUCUGGAAGCUCAGCCACCCUGACCAUCACUGGGCUCCAAGCUGAGGAUGGGGCUGAAUAUUACUGCCAGUCCUAUGACAGGAGCCUCAGUGCUCACACAGUGCCCCAGGACCGUGGGGAAGUGAGACAAAAACCUACUGUUCUCCAGCGCUGGGUUUCGCUUUGCAGCUCCCACUCCUUGGCCAAGUCAGUCCUUUCCUUUGUUUGGUCUAAAUUAAAGCUGUAG